CCAAUAGCGUAUAUUAAAGUUGUUGCAGUUAAAAAGCUCGUAGUUGAAUUUCGGGAUCAGUACGCUGGUCGUGCCUCCGGUAUGUACUGGUGUCACUGGUUCCUCCCUUCUGAAGAACCAUCAUGCUAUUAAUUUAGUGUGGUGGGAAAUCAGGACUGUUACUUUGAAAAAAUUAGAGUGUUUAAAGCAGGCUCACGCUUGAAUACAUUAGCAUGGAAUAAAGAAAUAGGACGUUGAUCCUAUUUUGUUGGUUUCUAGGAUUGACGUAAUGAUUAAUAGGGAUAGUUGGGGGCAUUAGUAUUCAAUUGUCAGAGGUGAAAUUCUUGGAUUUAUUGAAGACUAACUACUGCGAAAGCAUUUGCCAAGGAUGUUUUCAUUAAUCAAGAACGAAAGUUAGGGGAUCGAAGACGAUCAGAUACCGUCGUAGUCUUAACCAUAAACUAUGCCGACUAGGGAUCGGAUGAUGUUAAUUUUUUAAUGACUCAUUCGGCGCCUUACG
rnacentral:rRNA from 1 species